UUGUCUUCUUGUCACAAAAAGAAAUUCAUCGAUCUGGAAGGGGAGUUUUACUUACGUAAAUGGAUGUAGACCAGACUCAAACAUGUGAGAAUUGUGUUAAUGUGGAUUUAUAAGCCUCUGAAUGAAUUUCUAAGGCACCUAAGCUAUUGUUUCUUAAAAUAAGGUUCGUUUCUGUCUAUUCAAGUCAGUUCAUAGGGCUUCUCGUGAAUAGGAAAGUGGAUUCACAAACUCACAGGCCUUCCUUCUUUAAGGCUACAAACCUGAACAAUACGUUGCUGAACUGAAUACUGUAGGCACUUGUAACAUAAUGGACCCUGUGAGGUGAUAUUAUGACCUCCACUUCACUAUGGCUCAGAAGGAAUUGAAGCAAUGAGAAAUAAAGUGUUUUAUCGAAGAUUACACAGCAAGUAGUGGAGCUACAAUUUGAAUGAGGUAAUCUGACUAGAGAGCCUGUGCACUCAUUCACCAUACUAUUCUGCAACCUUACACAACCUCUAACAUGAAAAACCACCUUCUUAGAAAUAAAACCACAUGACCAUCCCAAUUUAAUGUUGAACUUUCUUCUUUAUCUUCUUUUCCUUUACCUGUCUUUGUCCAUUCAGGCUGCUGUAACAAAAUACCAUAGAGUGGGUGGCUUGUAAACAGUAAUUUACUUCUCACAGUUCUGAAGGCUGGGAAUUCCAAGAUCAAGGCACCAGCUGAUUUGAUGUCUGGUGAGGGCCUGCAUCCUUGUUCUUAGACUAUAGUUUGUUGGUUUUUGUGUUUUGUUUUGUUUUGUUUUGCUGUGUCCUCACAUGGAAAAAGGAGUGAGGGAUCUCUCGGGUUUCUUUUAUAAUGGCACUAAUCUCAUAGGGCUCUAACCAGAGGUCUCUUUUAUAGGGCACUGAUUGCCUCCCAGAGGACCCUAUCUCCAAAUACUCUCACAAUGGGGAUUAGGUAACAAUAUAUUAAUUUGGGGAGGACAGACAUUCAGUCUAUAGCCUGCCCCCAUCCAUAAAAUUAGUGACAGUUGUUGAGGAAGUGCCCAGUUACUAAAGAGAAACAAGAAUUCAUGAUUCUCUGUUUCAAUACCUUAAUAGUUCUC